rnacentral:rRNA from 1 species
ACUGAGCGGCGGACGGGUGAGUAACGCGUGGGCAACCUGCCUUACACAGGGGGAUAACAGUUAGAAAUGACUGCUAAUACCGCAUAAGACCACAGGACUGCAUGGUCCGGUGGUAAAAACUCCGGUGGUGUAAGAUGGGCCCGCGUCUGAUUAGGUAGUUGGCGGGGUAACGGCCCACCAAGCCGACGAUCAGUAGCCGACCUGAGAGGGUGACCGGCCACAUUGGGACUGAGACACGGCCCAGACUCCUACGGGAGGCAGCAG